AACCACAAGACGUUCGGACAGUGCUGAAUGGUCCCUUCAGAGAACUAAAACAUGACUGCAACAGAGGACUGCCUGUCGUGGACAAUGAUGUGCCCCAGCCCAGACCUGGAGAGAGGAUGGACACCUCCACCGAGCAGUGCGGAUCGGAGCUCAGCUCAGUGUUCUUGAAGAUCUGGCCUUAUUCCCAGAGCCACAGCCAGUUGAGAACAUGAAAUUGUACCAGAGCUGGCUCCUGGUUGGCUCCCGUACUGAGGUGACACAAGUGAAUACAACCAACUGUGGCCGUCUCCAGAGCUGCUCAGAGUGCAUCCUGGCCCAGGACCCAGUCUGUGCCUGGAGCUUCCGGCUGGAUGAGUGUGUGGCCCAUGUCGGGGAGCACCAAGGGUUGGUCCAAGACAUAGAGUCAGCAGAUGUCUCCUCUUUGUGUCCUAAAGAGCCUGGAGAACGUCCAGUAGUGUUUGAAGUUCCUGUGGCUACAGCUGCGCAUGUGGUCUUGCCAUGUUCUUCAAGCUCAGCAUGGGCAUCCUGUGUGUGGCACCAGCCCAGUGGAGUGACUGCACUCACCCCCCGGCGGGAUGGACUGGAGGUGGUGGUGACCCCAGGGGCCAUGGGCGCUUAUGCCUGUGAAUGUCAGGAGGGUGGGGCAGCCCGUGUGGUAGCAGCUUACAGCUUGGUAUGGGGCAGCCAGCGAGAUGUUCCGAGCCGGGCCCACACAGUGGGGGUGGGACUGGCAGGCUUCUUCUUGGGGGUUCUCGCAGCAUCCCUGACUCUC
rnacentral:sRNA from 1 species